UAGGCUCGUAGCUCAGUUGGUUAGAGCACCACCUUGACAUGGUGGGGGUCGUUGGUUCGAAUCCAAUCGAGCCUACCAA
rnacentral:tRNA from 3 species